rnacentral:tRNA from 1 species
UUUUAGCAAUAAGAUUGGCUGCAACACUUUAUCAAUAAUUAAAUAAAUAUUUACACGAACAAAAAUG